AUACGUAGGGGGCGAGCGUUGUCCGGAAUGAUUGGGCGUAAAGGGCGCGUAGGCGGCCUGUUAAGUCUGGAGUGAAAGUCCUGUUUUCAAGAUGGGAAUUGCUUUGGAUACUGAUGGGCUUGAGUGCAGGAGAGGUUAUCGGAAUUCCCGGUGUAGCGGUGAAAUGCGUAGAGAUCGGGAGGAACACCAGUGGCGAAGGCGGGUAACUGGACAGUAACUGACGCUGAGGCGCGAAAGCACGGGGAGCAAACAGGAUUAGAUACCCUGGUAGUCCGUGCCGUAAACGAUGAAUACUAGGUGUAGGGGGUAUCGACUCCCUCUGUGCCGCAGUUAACACAUUAAGUAUUCCACCUGGGGAGUACGGCCGCAAGGUUGAAACUCAAAUGAAUUGACGGGG
rnacentral:rRNA from 1 species